rnacentral:rRNA from 1 species
AUUGAACGCUGGCGGCAGGCCUAACACAUGCAAGUCGAGCGAGCGGCGGACGGGUGAGUAAUGUAUGGGAAACUGCCCGAUGGAGGGGGAUAACUACUGGAAACGGUAGCUAAUACCGCAUACUAUCAGAUGUGCCCAGAUGGGAUUAGCUAGUAGGUGAGGUAACGGCUCACGAAGGCGACGAUCCCUAGCUGGUCUGAGAGGAUGACCAGCCACACGGGAACUGAGAAACGGCCCGGACUCCUACGGGAGGCAGCAGUGGGGAAUAUUGCACAAUGGGCGCAAGCCGGAUGCAGCCAUGCCGCGUGUGUGAAGAAGGCCUUCGGGUUGUAAAGCACUUUCAGUGGGGAGGCGUUACCGGCAGAAGAAGCACCGGCUAACUCCGUGCCAGCAGCCGCGGUAAUAC